AUGAACGCUGGCGGCGUGCCUAAUACCUGCCAGUCGAGCGAACGGACGAGAAUCUUGCUUCUCUGAUGUUCUCGGCGGACGGGUGAGUAACACGUUGAUAACCUACCUAUAAGUCUGGGUUAACUUCGGGAAACCGGAGCUAAUACCGGUUAAUAUUUUGAACCGCCUGGUUCAAAAGUGAAAGACGGUCUUGCUUUCACUUAUAGAUGGAUCCGCGCUGCAUUAGCUAGUUGGUAAGGUAACGGCUUACCAAGGCAACGAUGCAUAGCCGACCUGAGAGGGUGAUCGGCGACACUGGAACUGAGACACGGUCCAGACUCCUACGGGAGGAAGCAGUAGGGAAUCUUCCGCAAUGGGCGAAAGCCUGACGGAGCAACGCCGCGUGAGUGAUGAAGGUCUUCGGAUCGUAAAACUCUGUUAUUAGGGAAGAACAUAUGUGUAAGUAAAUGUGCACAGCUUGACGGUACCUAAUCAGAAAGCAACGGCUAACUACGUG
rnacentral:rRNA from 1 species